UUAAAUACGUUGACGGGAAAAAAGGAAAAGACCAUAGCUUUUACAGAGAUCUGGGGGUGCUGGAAGCCCAGAAUAGCUACUUAUUCCGACAUCGUCCCUGAGUGUCACAUGGAAAGGAAUAUUCCAAUUAUAUGUGACCAGGUGCAUGGUAAUCUAUGUACCUGUUAUCAAACAUAGCUCUAGCAGCUAUUGAGGCAAAGUUUGAAAGAACUUUGUAAAACUGGGUGGUACCGUGAAAAGCAGAUCCUUUUCGCCCCAUAC
rnacentral:ncRNA from 1 species